CCAGAGUGAGUUAUAGUUAGACGAUUUAUCGAGAAAUCCGUUACAAUACGUAUAACCGACGUAAAUAUCAUUUCCAUAUAAUUUUAAUCUGUGUGGACCCUUAGUGACCAGAAAUCAAAUUUUAAUUAUAAUUGUAUUGUAUUGUUACGGCUCCUGGUGUUAUCUGGAAUUAUUGUUCCACAACCGACAAUGACAAUAAAGUAAAGUGUAAUAUUUGUAAAAAAAAAAAAUUUUAUUUAAUAAGAGCACAUCAACUAUAAGCAAUUGCAAUCAUCUCAUAAAAUUCAUGCGCCUUCAAACAAAGAUACUCCGUCACGGAAAAGAGCAAACGGUGGAGAAAAUGAUUUAGUGAUUCAACCUAAAAAGGCUUUGAUGGCUAUUGAAUCAUCUGCUUCUCAUGCAUCAGUUUCUAUAGAAAAUAAAAGCACUAUUUCUUUACAGUCAACUUCUUCACUCAAACUUCAAUCAGGGGCUCCUUGAUCGCUGUAUAAAUAAUGCUACUCCUUUUGCCGGUAUUUAUUAGUUUAAUUUUUCGACAAAAAUACCAGGACUUAUGUAAUAAAGUCAAGAUCGAGCUUCAACCAGCUAAGUAUGUUUGCUUAACGAUAGAUAUUUGGACACACCAUCAUACGAUGAAGAGUUAUCUCGGUUUGACAGUUCACUACUUGAAAGGAGUUGAAAUGAAAACCGUUGGCUAGGAGCUUAUCAUAUGGAAGAGCGUAAAACGAUUGAAAUUUUGAGGUCGAAAUUAAGAAAAAUAUGUUAUGGCUGGAGUCUAAGUGAUGAAAAAAUUGCUGCAUUUGUUUCUGACGGAGGAUCGAAUAUUAAGGGUAAUUAAAAGUGAAUUCGUCAGUGAAAAACACAUUUUGUGUAAUGGACAUGGCAUCAACAAUAUUGGGCAAAGAGUGAUCGAUAUAAAUGUAACCCCACCAGCAUCUGAAUCUGUAGAUCAAAUAGUCGAACUUCCUUUAUAUGAAGAUGAUAUUAUCGAUGAUUCAGUAAUUUUAGAGCCUGACAAAACUACUGAUCAAAAAAUAUUACGUGAUCUGUUGACAAAAGUUUAAAAAAUCUUAACAUUUUUUAGACUCAGUGAAAGAGCUACAAAUGAGUUGUUGACCUUACAAAACAAGUUACCAGAAGUAAAGCAUCUUAAACUAAUACAGGAAGUAAAAAUAAGAUGGAAAUCGUGUUAUGAAAUGGUUAAUCGAUUUAUUGUACUUGCCGACUAUGUUGGAAAUGUCCUUCUUCAGAUUAAAUUGGACAAAUCGUCAAAAGAAAACUGAAGAUUUUAAUCCAGAUACUGCGAUAGGGUGACAAUUACAAAAAAAACUCACUCAAGAAAUUGAAAAUAUAUAUGGAAACAUUGAAUCGGUGAAAUUGUAUGCUUGCGCAACUUUUCUUGAUCCUCGGUAUAAGAGGUGCGCCUGUUAUAGUAUUCGAGAAUCUGCUCGUGCAGUCACCAACGUUGGCGAUCUGGUUAGGAUUGAGAGAAAGUUAGCCUUACAAGCAACGGAUUCUUCUGUAAUACCUUUCGAUAAAGAAGUUACUCCAGUUAUUGAAGCCCAAGAAUCUCAGAAAGACAAAAAGGAGAUGAUAUUUGGUCAUAUCUCGAUGAAGCUAUCAACUGCGCAAAGCGGGAGGAUUGCCGGUACCGUUGCGUCAGUAUUUAAAUCGUCCAGUUGUGGCACGACAACAAUGCCCUAAUCCACUUGUUUUUUGGGAAUCAAUUAAACAUGAAUAUCCUCACUUAUGGAGUGUAUCGAGGAAAUUUCUAUCGAUUGUAGCAACUUCUGUACCCUGUGAAAAUUGUUUUCCCAUGCUGGACUCAUUGCUAAUCAAUUGAGGAGUCGUUUAUCACCUCAGCAUUUUGAUGAACUAGUGUUUCUGAGAUCAAUUAGCGAAGACAUGUGGGAAUCUUAAAUUAUCUUUUUAAAUUUCUAUGUCAUAUGGAUACCUUAUUAAACUCUAAACUAAUAUUUUAAUGUUAUAUUAUUAAUUAGUAAUAAAUAUAUAUAUUUAAUUGUUACUUUAAUACUUAACUUGAAUAUUAAAAAUUAAUUUUCGGUGCCAUACUCAGCGCAAUUUUAACAAAGAAUAAAUAUUUAAAAAAGUAUUAAAUACUUAUGUGUGUAUUCUUCAAAUAUAAUUUGUCAACGAUGAAUAAAUGAAUAUCACUUUUAAUAACAAUAAAGAAA